UACGAAGGGGGCUAGCGUUGCUCGGAAUUACUGGGCGUAAAGGGCGCGUAGGCGGAUAUUUAAGUUGGGGGUGAAAUCCCGGGGCUCAACCUCGGAAUUGCCUUCAAAACUGGAUAUCUUGAGUUCGGGAGGGGUGAGUGGAACUCCGAGUGUAGAGGUGAAAUUCGUAGAUAUUCGGAAGAACACCAGUGGCGAAGGCGACUCACUGGCCCGAUACUGACGCUGAGGCGCGAAAGCGUGGGGAGCAAACAGG
rnacentral:rRNA from 1 species